UACGAAGGGGGCUAGCGUUGCUCGGAAUCACUGGGCUUAAAGGGCGCGUAGGCGGGCAACCAAGUCAAAGGUGAAAUCCCACCGCUCAACGGUGGAAGAGCCCCUGAUACUGGUUGCCUCGAGGGAGGUAGGGGCAUGUGGAACUUCCGGUGGGAGCGGUGAAAUGCGUUGAUAUCGGAAGGAACGCCGGUGGCGAAAGCGACGUGCUGGAUCUCUUCUGACGCUGAGGCGCGAAAGCUAGGGGAGCGAACGGG
rnacentral:rRNA from 1 species